UGAACCAAUCCUUAUAGUCCAGACUGGGA
rnacentral:piRNA from 1 species